rnacentral:lncRNA from 1 species
UUUCUUUACAUCCCUCAGGAUGUCAAGUACAGAUUUCAUAGCAGGUCCUCAAUAAAUACAUGUGAAAUUGAGUGCAGGUGUGCUAACUGGGGAUUUUUUAAAAACAGCGUCUAAGCAGACCACCUGCAUCAGAAAUACCUGGGGUGCCUUUGGAAAAUGCCAGCCCCUAUGAAACCUUUUGAAUCAGUAUCUUUGGUGGAAACAGGGAAUCUAAAAUUUCAAUUAAGUUCCCCACUGAUCUCCCUGCACACUAUUGUUUUGGGAAUCAGUGGAGCUGAAGAUACAGAGCACAGGUUUAGAGAAUAAUUUACUACUUAAAAAAAAAAAACUUUAUAUCGAAGACAUUUAGUACACCGAAUAUGAAAAUAAAAGCAUUUUAACUCUUUAGGAGGGUAUUUCUUCAUAUUACAGCUGAAGCUACUUUAUAGGCACAUGAUAUUACAGAUAAGGUGGUUUCCCAAGACCUUCAGUGAGAUUUUUCCCAUCAUGUGUCUCUAAGUGAAGAAGUAAAACUACUAAUUGCUAACGAACUAUCCUCUUUUUGUCUAAUAGUGUUGAUUUUUGCUCUGGGUGACAACAGGCCUACAUUAAAAAAAAUAGGAAUCUGUCUUGGCUACUUUGCAGCAAGAAAUAUCCAGAAGUUACUCAGAAGGAUUGCUAGGAAAUGGUUUUUAAAGGCAUAUCUCUGUCCUUUCCUCUUGUCUUUUCUUCCUAUUUGGAAUGUAGACACAUUAGAAAGAGGUGAAGACAGCUACGUCCAGUGGUGGAGGAGGGAUAAAAAUGUGCCUGGGACAUGGAUAAUAAUGUGGAAUGUGUAUCAGAUUUCCGAUCACCGGAUUCAUUUUUACGUGAGAAAUAUAAACCCUCUUACUAGAUAAACCACCACAAUAGGAUUUAUAACCUUGCAUUCUUCAGAUAUCCCCAACUAAACAUUUGUAGUAGGCAGAAUAAUGUUUUCCCAAAGAUGUCUCCAUCCUAAUGUCUGGGUAUGUCACAUUACAUUGAGCUUGCAGACAGAAUUAAGGUCUAUGGUAAGCGUUUAUCCUGGAUUAUCUGAGUGGGACUAAAGGGGGAAGACGGAGGCAUAAGAAGCAGUGUCAAAGCAAGGGGAAGUGAGGAAAACAUGACUGGCCACUACCAGUUUUGAAGACAGAAAGGGGCCGAGUGCCAAAGAGUGUAGGUGGCCUCUAGAAGCUGGAAAUGAUAAGAAAUAGAUUUUCUCUGAUAGUCUCUCAAAGGAACAGAGUCCAGUUGAUUCUGGCAUAGAGAGACUCAUUUCAGAUCUCUGACCUGCGAAACUGGAAGAUGAUAAACUUGUAUGCCUCUAAGCAACUAAAUUUGUGGAAAAUGUUACAGCAGCAACCAGAAACUAAUAUAAUAUCUGAGCAGAAAAGAUAACCUAAUCACUAUUUAGACAUUAAGAAGUAUUAAAGGCAUUAAAAACAUUAAAAAAAAUAUGCUCUGGGUUAGUUUACAUAUACACAAAUAUAAAAGAUGGCUGGAGACAAUCUUGAAUUAAGAAUAUUCUACUCUAAAACCAUCAUUUGCUAGAAAAAUACAUUCCCUCCAUAAAGACAGAGUGAAUAUAAUUUAAAAAUGUACUCUACCAAAUUAGUUAGAUAUUCUUGACUCUCUACAGUAGCUCAGGUCACUGCUGAGCUGCAGGUUUGUUCUCCAGCCUGGUGUAGUGAGUUAAGAAACUGGCAUUGCUAUAACUGUCGCAUAGGUUGCAGCUACAGCUCAGAUUUGAUCACUGGCCUGGGAAAUUCCAUAUUGUGCAGGUGAGGCCAAAAUAAUAAUAAAAAUUUGUUUAAUCUCCAGAAAGUAACCUAAAAUUACCUAUCAAGACACACCAAAAGUACAUUUCAAGAAGUCUGGCUAACCAUUAGUUUUGAAUGAAUUCUGAGAAAAAUGCUAUUAGUGUUAAACCAAGCUACAUUAAUAGAAAUGACGUGUCUAGAAUGAAAAGGAAACUACCCCCUUGCUAUUCCCUGAACAGUCAAAAUCUAAAGAGUGUCUUGUUGAAUGUUUUGAUGAUUUCUGGUUGAAUUUUACUGAACACAAAUGAAAACAAUAAUGUGCUUUUUAUGUGUGCUUAUUCUAGACAGACUAGUCAAAUUAAAACUAUUUCCGUUUUCAAAGUAAAACAAUAGAAUCCCAUAUUUUAAAGAGGAUUUUCAGACAUUUGGAAUAGACAAGAUUGCAUAGGUAUGUUUUUCUCCAUUACUCCCAUGCUAAUAUAAUUAUAACUCAGAAAUAAUGACAGAGAUUAAAAAAAAUUUAAAUGAAGAAGAGCUCUGAGAGGUAGUAAGCAGAAAUCAAACUGGUUAGGGACCUUGGGAGUGGAACUUCGUGGGCCAGGGAUGGAACCUGUUCCAUAGCAGUGAUGAUAGCCAUUGCAGUGACAAUGCCAGAUCCUUAACCCAUUGUGCCACAAGGGAACUUUCCAGACCCAAGAAGCCAGACACAUUGAUAAGAGGAAUCAGCUAAAAGCCUUGCUAACCCUCAGUAUCUAGAAAAGGUACUCUCCUUUCAUACCAUGCAAGAUACUCCCUCCAAAGCAAUAGAUACCAAGGUGGGUUGCAAGACCAGGAGUGGGGAAAGCAGCAAAACUGACCCUGUGAAGAGAGUGGAAAAAUAACAUCACAGACUGGGAGAAAGGAUUUGCCAACUAAAUAUCUGAGAAAGACCUCUCAAACUCAGCAGUAAAAAAAUAAAUAAAUAAAUAAAUUUAAAUGCAAUUAAAAUGACAAAUUAAAAUCCAAAUAGUGAAAAGUUAAAACCCAGUGAAAAAUGGGAAGUGUCUCAUGGGGAUGGAGUUUACUUGGAGAGAUGGAAAUGUUUUUGAAUUAGGUGGAGAUGGCCAUUGCACACCAUGAUGAGUGUACUAAAUGCUACUGAAUGGUGUGUUUUAAAAUGGUUAGUUUUAUGUUGUGUGAUUUUCACCUCAGUAAUUAUUCAAAAUAAAAAUUUUAAAAGUGGAAAAAUAUAUGGAGAGACAGUCCACUGAAGAGGCUAUCUAAACAAUAAAUGAGCUCAGGAAAAGAUGUUAGACAUGUUUAGCUAUUAGGAAAAUGAAAAUACAAACCAUGAAGAGUUACCAUAUACCUAUCAGAAUGGCUAAAAUUAACCAAAAAACAAUGACACUAUCAAAGGCUGACAAAGAUGUGAGAAUCUGGAUGACUCAUACAUCAUUGGUGGGUAAUAUAAAAUGGUAUAAGCCCUCUGGAAAACAGGUUGUCAGGUAUUGAAAUUACCAUACAACCCAGAAACUCACACUUGAGCAUUUACCCCAGAGUAAUAAAAUCUUAUUUUCAAUAAAAAAAUUCUCAAGAAUGUUUACUGAAUCCUUACUGUAACAGCCAAGAACUGGAAAUAGCUAUCCUGUCUUUCAAUAGGUAAACAGUUAAAAAAUAUGUGAUCCAUCCAUAUCACGGGAUACUACUCAGCAAUAAAAAGCAUUCAAAUUGGUCGAAUGUCCAGGGAAUUAAGUUGAGCAGAAAACAAACAAUCCUGCAGGUUACCUACUGUGUUAUUCCCUUUAGAUAACAUUUUUGAAAUGACAGAAUUUUUGAAGUAGAGAAAAGAUUCCCAGUUUCUAGGCGUUAGGGCUGAGAGUGAGAGUGGCAUUUGGAAAAAGCCUAUGAGGGAGAUGAGUGUGGCCAUAAAAGCAACAUGAGGGAUCUCUGUGAUGAUGGAACUUCUUAAUAUCUUGACUCUAUAGCGGUGGCCACAUGAAAUAAAAUCGUAUAGAAAUAUACAUGCAUAUAUGUGCAAACACAGAUAAAUACACAUAAAAUUGAGAAAAUCUAAAUAAGAUCAGUGGGUUUUAUCAAUGCUAGUAUCCUAGUGAUGAUAGCACAGUUUUCCAAAUGUUCCCAUUUAGGAAAACUGGUCAGAGUACAGGGGAUUUCUCUAUAUUAUGUCCCAGACAGCCAUGUGGAUCCACAGUUAUCACAUGAAAUUUUCAAUAAAAAUGAACACUGCAUUGUAAGUCACCUAUACUCUAAUAAAAUUUAUAAAAAAUAAAAAUAAAAAUUAAGUACAGUGAGACCAUGUUCAAAGGAAAUGAAAAUUAUGAUGUAUAUAAAACACAGUGUAGUGACUGCCUUUUUCUUUAAGACCUGAAAACUAAAUAAGUUUGAUUUAGUUUCUUAGAGAUAAUUCUAUAAAAUAGACACAUAAUAUUUUCUGCUUAUAGAAAUCAAUGAUGCUUCUAUUUUUUUUAUUUAUAUUUAUUUUAUUUUUUGUCUUUCUGGCAAUUCUUGUACCGCUCCUGCAGCAUUUGGAAGUUCCCAGGUUAGGGGUCGAAUCAGAGCCAUGUUGGCCUACAUCAGAGCCACAGCAACGUGGGAUCCAAGACGUGUCUGCAACCUGCACCAUAGCUUAUGGCAUCGCCAGAUCCUUAACCCACUGAGAGGCCAGGGAUCAAACCCACAACCUCUGGGUUCCUAGUCGUAUUCGUUAAUCACUGAGCCAUGACAGGAACUCCCAAUGAUGCUUCUAAAGUAACUUGUUUUAGUUAAAUUUUAACUAGUGAAUUUAACAAAAAAAGUAACAGACUCACAGAUAUAGAGGAACAAACUAAUGAUUACUAGUGGGGAAAGGCAAGAGGAAGGGCAAGCUAGGAGUAGAGGAUGAAAAGGUCCAAACUACCAUGUAUAAAAUAAGUAAGCUAUAAGGACAUAGUGCACAACACAAGGAAUAUAGCCAAUAUUUUCUAACCAUCUUAAAUGGAGUAUAACCUUUAAAAAUUGUGAAUCACUAUGCUGAAUACCUGAAAUAAUAAUACCUUGUAUAAUAUUGUACAACUAUACCUCUAUGAAAAAAUAAUAUAUUUCCUUAAGAAGUGAAACUAUGUACACUGGAAUCUUAAGUAAAUAAUUUCGCUCAAACUCUUUAGGCUCCUACUUACCCCCAUGAGAGGCCCCCUUGAUCAAUAAAGUUGAACACAGAACAAGUUUGUAUUCAAACUAAGGUACAUCUGAAUAAAUGGGAACCAAAAUAAGCAAAGUUUAUAAUGGGUUAAAGUUUCCCCUAGUAUUUCUUGUUAGUGCCUUCUUAUUUGGAACUAUUAUUUAUUACUUUUAUGUAGUUUCCUUUACUUUUUCUAGCAGCUAUGUGUGACAAAUAGAUUUUUCUCUGUGUACUUAUUUUAGAAGUUAUUUAAUGAAAAGAAUAUGAACAUCUGAAUUUUCAGCUUAAGCAUCAUUCAAUAUAUGAUGUAAAACUGAGGGUUGGUGACUUAGAGUAAUUUGAAGUAGUGUCUAAAUUUGUGUCUUCACUCAUCACUUUACUGGUCUUGAUGGAUCUGCCCAUUAGUUUGAUAAAAGGAAAAUCAGUACCUAUAAGCGAUAAUUUUACCUUUAUAUGACAUUUGCUAUGGGUAAUUGUUUACUUAACAGCGAAUACAAGUUACAUAUUUCUCAGGGUAUGAUUUUGAUUUCUCUCAGCCCAUCUUUUUUUUUUUGGAGUCUAUAUUAACAGAGAUUUAUGCACUUUUCUGUGGUUAACUGAUGUAUCUGUCAUUUAUUUUAGGUACAUACCACAGGAAAUAUUUGAAAUAUAACUAUGGGAGUUCCCAUGAUGAUGCAGUGGAAACGAAUCUGACUAGGAACCAUGGGGUUGUGGGUUCGAUCCCUGGCGUCUUCAGUGGGUUAGAGAUCAGGCGUUGCUGUGAGCUGUGGUGUAGGUUGUAGACACAGCUCGAAUUGGGUGCUGUGGCUGUGGAGCAGACCAGCAGCUGUAGCUCCAAUUAGACCCCUAGCCCAGGAACCUCUAUAUGCCACAGGUGUGGCCCUAAAAAGACAAAAAAAAAAAAAAAAGAAAGAAAAGAAAAGAAAUAUAACCAUAAAGAAUUAAGUUAUUACUGGUUUAUUUCUUAUUCAGCAUUCUUAAUAUCACACAGUGGUUGAAAUGUUAUUUUCAUAAUAGCUUCACCAGUCACAUGACACAAGUAUUGUGCAUUACCCAUAUUUGGAGCAAAGUUAUGCUUCCUUUCAUUUAAAUAUGCGAUCCAGUGAUGGACACGAUUCUUUGUGCAUGAAGAUUGGUAAGGAAUAUAGACAUAUGACUAAUAAAGACAACAUUUCUACUUAAUUGUUAAUUAGCAUAAAUUCAAUAUAAAUAUCCUUUUUGUUUUGUUAGAUUUAAAUUAUGAGCAUUCAAAAGCCAGCUCUAUUAGAGAAAGGGCACUUUUCCAGGAGUCUGAAAAAUGAGGACUCCAAUCCUGGGAUUG